ACUACUGAGUUGACGGGCCACAUACUUAUAUAAAUAAACUCUUACUAUCACUAAUAUUAAGCUGACUAUAUCAGCUGUUGAUUGUUCCUUUCCUCAUGUACAAGUGUAUUAUUUGGUUUUCUGUUGCCAAUUGUGGAUGUAUAAACAUUUAACAUUGAGUUAAUUUUAUUUAAAGUGUGAGUGUAUACACGGAAAAUAUGGGACUGUUUAAUUUUGUUACUGGAUUUCUGACUGGAUCAUACGCUGGAAUUUACUUUACACAGAAUUACAAUGUACCUAAAUUAGCGCAUCCACAGGCCAUUAUUGAAAAGGUUCAAGAGUUUCUUGAAGAAAGGAAGAAAAAAGAUUGAUGAGUCGGUCAUUCUACACAUUUGGGUACUUAGUUAUUUAUCCCGCGAUUCACUCUGAUAGUUUUUACUUUAAAUGUAUACUCUUAGUCACUUCAUUUACAAUAACGAUGAGAUUUAAGACUUUUUUAGAAAUUUUUAUGUGGCUGCUUGAUAAAUCAUGGACUAUUCGGUUCUAGAUGGAAAGGAUAUGAUUAAAAUAAAUAAUAGGGAUCAUCAAUUCUUUUUUUGGCUCAAUAAUACUCUAGUGAUAUGUAAUAUAAAUAAUUGAUAUUCGUCUCGAAAGUGGUAUAGUGCCUAUUUUGUCGUUGGAGAUUUAUUUUUGCGAAAAAUAAAUAUUUUUUGAAUGUCA
rnacentral:lncRNA from 1 species